GGCGUUUGUAAACCGAGGUCCCACUGUACAUCAUGGCCACUUGCUAUCCACUCACGAUGUAUAGUGAAAUCACACAUUACAACUAAAACAGUGUUGCAAAUGUGACACAAAACUGCAUACAUCUCUUGCAUAAUACAGACAUUUACACUUUAAAUUGCGUACAGAUAAUUGAUAUCCCCACUACAUGUUAAUAUUGUGUAAAAUUCCUUCCUUCAAGGUGUAUAGCUUUUAAAAUUACAAUCAUACGUUUGCCAG